rnacentral:rRNA from 1 species
CCUACGGGCAGCUGCAGUGAGGAAUAUUGGUCAAUGGGCGCGAGCCUGAACCAGCCAAGUAGCGUGAAGGAUGACUGCCCUAUGGGUUGUAAACUUCUUUUAUAAAGGAAUAAAACGAGGCACGUGUGCCUUUUUGCAUGUACUUUAUGAAUAAGGAUCGGCUAACUCCGUGCCAGCAGCCGCGGUAAUACGGAGGAUCCGAGCGUUAUCCGGAUUUAUUGGGUUUAAAGGGCGCGUAGAUGGGUUGUUAAGUCAGUUGUGAAAGUUUGCGGCUCAACCGUAAAAUUGCAAUUGAUACUGGCAGUCUUGAGUACAGUUGAGGUAGGCGGAAUUCGUGGUGUAGCGGUGAAAUGCUUAGAGAUCACGAAGAACCCCGAUGGCGAAGGCAGCUUACUAAACUGUGACUGACAUUGAUGCUCGAAAGUGUGGGGAGCAAACAGGAUUAGAUACCCUUGUAGUC